rnacentral:rRNA from 1 species
UUAAGCGACUAAGCGUACACGGUGGAUGCCCUGGCAGUCAGAGGCGAUGAAGGACGUGCUAAUCUGCGAAAAGCGUCGGUAAGGUGAUAUGAACCGUUAUAACCGGCGAUGUCCGAAUGGGGAAACCCAGUGCAAUUCGUUGCACUAUCGUUAACUGAAUACAUAGGUUAACGAGGCGAACCGGGGGAACUGAAACAUCUAAGUACCCCGAGGAAAAGAAAUCAACCGAGAUUCCCCCAGUAGCGGCGAGCGAACGGGGAGCAGCCCAGAGUCUGAAUCAGCUUGUGUGUUAGUGGAACGGUCUGGAAAGUCCGACGGUACAGGGUGAUAGUCCCGUACACCAAAAUGCACAGGCUGUGAACUCGAAGAGUAGGGCGGGACACGUGGUAUCCUGUCUGAAUAUGGGGGGACCAUCCUCCAAGGCUAAAUACUCCUGACUGACCGAUAGUGAACCAGUACCGUGAGGGAAAGGCGAAAAGAACCCCGGCGAGGGGAGUGAAAAAGAACCUGAAACCGUGUACGUACAAGCAGUGGGAGCACCUUCGGGUGUGACUGCGUACCUUUUGUAUAAUGGGUCAGCGACUUAUAUUCUGUAGCAAGGUUAACCGUAUAGGGGAGCCGCAGGGAAACCGAGUCUUAACUGGGCGUUAAGUUGCAGGGUAUAGACCCGAAACCCGGUGAUCUAGCCAUGGGCAGGUUGAAGGUUGGGUAACACUAACUGGAGGACCGAACCGACUAAUGUUGAAAAAUUAGCGGAUGACUUGUGGCUGGGGGUGAAAGGCCAAUCAAACCGGGAGAUAGCUGGUUCUCCCCGAAAGCUAUUUAGGUAGCGCCUCGUGAACUCAUCUUCGGGGGUAGAGCACUGUUUCGGCUAGGGGGUCAUCCCGACUUACCAACCCGAUGCAAACUACGAAUACCGAAGAAUGUUAUCACGGGAGACACACGGCGGGUGCUAACGUCCGUCGUGAAGAGGGAAACAACCCAGACCGCCAGCUAAGGUCCCAAAGUCAUGGUUAAGUGGGAAACGAUGUGGGAAGGCACAGACAGCCAGGAUGUUGGCUUAGAAGCAGCCAUCAUUUAAAGAAAGCGUAAUAGCUCACUGGUCGAGUCGGCCUGCGCGGAAGAUGUAACGGGGCUAAACCAUGCACCGAAGCUGCGGCAGCGACACUAUGUGUUGUUGGGUAGGGGAGCGUUCUGUAAGCCUGCGAAGGUGUGCUGUGAGGCAUGCUGGAGGUAUCAGAAGUGCGAAUGCUGACAUAAGUAACGAUAAAGCGGGUGAAAAGCCCGCUCGCCGGAAGACCAAGGGUUCCUGUCCAACGUUAAUCGGGGCAGGGUGAGUCGACCCCUAAGGCGAGGCCGAAAGGCGUAGUCGAUGGGAAACAGGUUAAUAUUCCUGUACUUGGUGUUACUGCGAAGGGGGGACGGAGAAGGCUAUGUUAGCCGGGCGACGGUUGUCCCGGUUUAAGCAUGUAGGCUGAUUGUCCAGGCAAAUCCGGAUAAUCAAGGCUGAGGUGUGAUGACGAGGCACUACGGUGCUGAAGUAACAAAUGCCCUGCUUCCAGGAAAAGCCUCUAAGCAUCAGGUAACAUCAAAUCGUACCCCAAACCGACACAGGUGGUCAGGUAGAGAAUACCAAGGCGCUUGAGAGAACUCGGGUGAAGGAACUAGGCAAAAUGGUGCCGUAACUUCGGGAGAAGGCACGCUGGUGUGUAGGUGAAGUCCCUGCGGAUGGAGCUGAGACCAGUCGAAGAUACCAGCUGGCUGCAACUGUUUAUUAAAAACACAGCACUGUGCAAACACGAAAGUGGACGUAUACGGUGUGACGCCUGCCCGGUGCCGGAAGGUUAAUUGAUGGGGUUAUCCGUAAGGAGAAGCUCUUGAUCGAAGCCCCGGUAAACGGCGGCCGUAACUAUAACGGUCCUAAGGUAGCGAAAUUCCUUGUCGGGUAAGUUCCGACCUGCACGAAUGGCGUAAUGAUGGCCAGGCUGUCUCCACCCGAGACUCAGUGAAAUUGAACUCGCUGUGAAGAUGCAGUGUACCCGCGGCAAGACGGAAAGACCCCGUGAACCUUUACUAUAGCUUGACACUGAACAUUGAGCCUUGAUGUGUAGGAUAGGUGGGAGGCUUUGAAGCGUGGACGCCAGUCUGCGUGGAGCCAACCUUGAAAUACCACCCUUUAAUGUUUGAUGUUCUAACGUUGGCCCCUGACCGGGGUUGCGGACAGUGUCUGGUGGGUAGUUUGACUGGGGCGGUCUCCUCCCAAAGCGUAACGGAGGAGCACGAAGGUUAGCUAAUCCUGGUCGGACAUCAGGAGGUUAGUGCAAUGGCAUAAGCUAGCUUGACUGCGAGCGUGACGGCGCGAGCAGGUGCGAAAGCAGGUCAUAGUGAUCCGGUGGUUCUGAAUGGAAGGGCCAUCGCUCAACGGAUAAAAGGUACUCCGGGGAUAACAGGCUGAUACCGCCCAAGAGUUCAUAUCGACGGCGGUGUUUGGCACCUCGAUGUCGGCUCAUCACAUCCUGGGGCUGAAGUAGGUCCCAAGGGUAUGGCUGUUCGCCAUUUAAAGUGGUACGCGAGCUGGGUUUAGAACGUCGUGAGACAGUUCGGUCCCUAUCUGCCGUGGGCGCUGGAGAAUUGAGGGGGGCUGCUCCUAGUACGAGAGGACCGGAGUGGACGCAUCACUGGUGUUCGGGUUGUCAUGCCCAAUGGCACUGCCCGGUAGCUAAAUGCGGAAGAGAUAAGUGCUGAAAGCAUCUAAGCACGAAACUUGCCCCGAGAUGAGUUCUCCCUGAGACUUUAAGUCUCCUGAAGGAACGUUAAAGACGAUGACGUUGAUAGGCCGGGUGUGUAAGCGCAGCGAUGCGUUGAGCUAACCGGUACUAAUGAACCGUGAGGCUUAACCUU